UACGAAGGGGGCUAGCGUUGUUCGGAUUUACUGGGCGUAAAGCGCACGUAGGCGGAUCGUUAAGUCGGGGGUGAAAAUCCUGGAGCUCAACUCCAGAACUGCCUUCGAUACUGGCGAUCUUGAGUCCGGAAGAGGUGAGUGGAACUCCUAGUGUAGAGGUGGAAUUCGUAGAUAUUAGGAAGAACACCAGUGGCGAAGGCGGCUCACUGGUCCGGUACUGACGCUGAGGUGCGAAAGCGUGGGGAGCAAACAGG
rnacentral:rRNA from 1 species